rnacentral:rRNA from 1 species
UUCCGGUUGAUCCUGCCGGAGGCUACUGCUAUCGGGGUUCGAUUAAGCCAUGCGAGUUAAAUGUUCUUUGUGAACAUAGCGAACUGCUCAGUAACACGUGGAUAACCUACCCUUAGGACCGGAAUAACCCCGGGAAACUGGGGAUAAUACCGGAUAAGCCAUAGACGCUGGAAUGCCCUAUGGUUCAAAGCUCCGGCGCCUAAGGAUGGAUCUGCGGUCUAUCAGGUUGUAGUGGGUGUAACGUACCUACUAGCCGACGACGGAUACGGGUUGUGAGAGCAAGAGCCCGGAGAUGGAUUCUGAGACACGAAUCCAGGCCCUACGGGGUGCAGCAGGCGCGAACACUUUACAAUGCGGGAAACCGCGAUAAGGGAACCCCGAGUGCCAGCAUCAAAUGUUGGCUGUCCAGAUGAUUAAAAAUCAUUUGUUAGCAAGGGCCGGGCAAGACCGGUGCCAGCCGCCGCGGUAACACCGGCGGCCCGAGUGGUAGCCGUUUUUAUUGGGUCUAAAGGGUCCGUAGCCGGCUUGAUAAGUCCUUUGGGAAAUCUGGCAGCUUAACUGUCAGGCUUCUAAGGGAUACUGUCAGGCUUGGGACCGGAAGAGGUAAGGGGUACUCCAGGGGUAGGAGUGAAAUCUUGUAAUCCCUGGGGGACCAUCUGUGGCGAAGGCGCCUUACCAGAACGGGUCCGACGGUGAGGGACGAAAGCUAGGGGAGCAAACCGGAUUAGAUACCCGGGUAGUCCUAGCUGUAAACGAUGCUCGCUAGGUGUCAGACACGGUGCGACCGUGUUUGGUGCCGCAGGGAAGCCGUUAAGCGAGCCACCUGGGAAGUACGGUCGCAAGGCUGAAACUUAAAGGAAUUGGCGGGGGAGCACUACAACGGGUGGAGCCUGCGGUUUAAUUGGAUUCAACGCCGGA